rnacentral:lncRNA from 1 species
CACGAGGUGGCUCAAAGGGAACUAAGCUUUGCGUGUGAAUUUAGGGUGAGGCUAAGAGCCCUCCAGGCAGGCAGAGGAGGGUGCUGGAGGGAGGAGAGGCCGGUAUAGGACCUUCGCCUUGAAGAAAGCACCCAGGUGGAUGAAGACCUGAUCAUUGAAGUUCACCAGUUAUUUUUCUCAAGAAUGUGAAUAACAAUGGGAUUUGCACUCAUUAUAUUUUUAGAAUGGCUUCGCAUAAUUUUCAUGCAUCCUGUGGACGAUGAACACAAAUGCAGCUGUGGCCGUGCCUGGCCUGUGUGUGUUGAACGCGUUCCUGCCGUGCGGGAGCCACCUACCCAGCGGAGCCUCAGAGUCUGAGUUCUCAAUCAAUAGCGUUUAUGGCAGCAUUUAGCGGACACAGAAGCACAUCUGAAAGUGGAGAGAGACGCGUUUCCCCAUUGCUGGCCGAGUCCCACCACUUUGCUCAGCUAUGAACACCUGACAUCUCGUUUCAUUUUCAUGCAAAAUCUGGAGAUAAUUAUUAUCCACAAUUCUAAGGCCUUAGGCCCCUCCGCAUGAGCC